UUUACCCAACACGUUGGCCCAACGCCUUGGCCCCAUGUGUACUGCCGCUAUUACGGUCUCAACUCUCACCAACUAAAGUCUAAAUUACAAUGGCUGCAAAUAGAAAAUGUAGUGUUCCAAGUUGUUAUAAUACACGUGAUAAUUGUUCUUCACAUGAUCAUCAAAAAGAUGUGGACUUUUGCCGCUGGAGGAAUUAUUAUGUUGAUCCUGGAUGAUAUGUAACCUGGAUUCAGUUAUGGCACAGUAUGUCACUUGCUUUAAAGAUAAACUCAAAAGCAAGUAUAAAUUUGUAAAGUAAAGAAAGCCAAGCAAGCCAAGCUGACCAAGAUUGCACUGAACUCAAUAUGUAAUCAAAAGGUUAUUUUUUUUUUCAAAUUAUUUACUUACAACCAGAGGCUAUAUCUUCGUUGCAAAUUUCAAAUCUCCUCCUUUCUGUGUAAAAAGUAACUUUUCUCGAAAAACAAAAUAAACUUCCUGCUACAAAAAAUAUUAGAAAAUAUUUUUAUUCCUUUGGUUAUAAAGAAAAACUAAGUGAUUCCAAUAUAUUGAAAUUGAAAUAAUUAAAUAUCAUUAGUAAAAAUGGACUAAA